rnacentral:ncRNA from 1 species
GAGUAGAGCCUGCUGUUCAGUUCGACUGAACACGGGGAAAACUCACCCGGCUCGGACACUUUGAAGGUUGACAGAUUGAUACCUCUUUCUUGAUUCGGUCGGUGGUGGUGUAUAACCGUUCUUUGUUGGUGCAGCAAUUUGUCCAGGUAAUUCCGAUGAUCUGGUAAAUAGUAGACCGGUCUUCUGUGCUCGUUUAGGGCGCGGCUUCUGUUGUUUUUCCGUUUGGUAGUGUGGUCGUGAACCGGCGGGUACGGUGCCAGUUUUUACUUCUUAGAGGGACAAGCGGCACACUUAAGUCGCAGAAAAAUGAGCAAUAACAGAUCUGUAAUGCCCUUAGAUGUCCGGGGCUACACGUGUGCUAUAAAGACGGUGCCAGUGAAUCUGGAAACCUGACCCGAAAGGGUUGGGCAAACUGUUUGAUCACCGUCGUGACUAAAGCAUAGCGAAUUU